GACGAACGCUGGCGGCGUGCCUAACACAUGCAAGUCGAACGAAUUACUUUAAAGGAAGUUUUCGGAUGGAAUUUAAAGUAGUUAGUGGCGGACGGGUGAGUAACGCGUGGGAAACCUGCCCUAUACAGGGGGAUAGCCUCGGGAAACUGGGAUUAAUACCCCAUAAAACUCUAGUAUCGCAUGAUACAUGAGCCAAAGAUUUAUCGGUAUAGGAUGGUCCCGCGUCUGAUUAGCUAGUUGGUGAGGUAACGGCUCACCAAGGCGACGAUCAGUAGCCGGCCUGAGAGGGUGAACGGCCACACUGGAACUGAGACACGGUCCAGACUCCUACGGGAGGCAGCAGUGGGGAAUAUUGCACAAUGGGGGAAACCCUGAUGCAGCGACGCCGCGUGAGCGAAGAAGGCCUUCGGUCGUAAGCUCUGUCCUAAGGAAGAAACGGACGGUACCGUUAGGAGGAAGCCCCGGCUAACUACGUG
rnacentral:rRNA from 1 species